rnacentral:rRNA from 1 species
UCACACCUGCCCAAGCGUGCGUA